GAUGAACGCUGGCGGCGUGCUUAACACAUGCAAGUCGAACGAUGAAGCCCAGCUUGCUGGGUGGAUUAGUGGCGAACGGGUGAGUAACACGUGAGUAACCUGCCCUUAACUCUGGGAUAAGCCUGGGAAACUGGGUCUAAUACCGGAUAGGAGCGUCCACCGCAUGGUGGGUGUUGGAAAGAUUUAUCGGUUUUGGAUGGACUCGCGGCCUAUCAGCUUGUUGGUGAGGUAAUGGCUCACCAAGGCGACGACGGGUAGCCGGCCUGAGAGGGUGACCGGCCACACUGGGACUGAGACACGGCCCAGACUCCUACGGGAGGCAGCAGUGGGGAAUAUUGCACAAUGGGCGCAAGCCUGAUGCAGCGACGCCGCGUGAGGGAUGACGGCCUUCGGGUUGUAAACCUCUUUCAGUAGGAAAGAAGCGAAAGUGACGGUACCUGCAGAAGAAGCACCGGCUAACUACGUG
rnacentral:rRNA from 1 species